rnacentral:rRNA from 1 species
AAGUGGGGAUGACGUCAAGUCCUCAUGGCCCUUAUGUCCAGGGCUACACACGUGCUACAAUGGCCGGUACAAAGGGCAGCAAAGCCGCGAGGUGGAGCCAAUCCCAGAAAGCCGGUCUCAGUUCGGAUUGGAGUCUGCAACUCGACUCCAUGAAGUUGGAAUCGCUAGUAAUUGCGGAUCAGCAUGCCGCGGUGAAUACGUUCCCGGGCCUU